rnacentral:rRNA from 1 species
CAGCAGCCACGGUAAUACGAAGGGUGCAAGCGUUACUCGGAAUUACUGGGCGUAAAGCGUGCGUAGGUGGUGGUUUAAGUCCGUUGUGAAAGCCCUGGGCUCAACCUGGGAAUUGCAGUGGAUACUGGGUCACUAGAGUGUGGUAGAGGAUAGUGGAAUUUCCGGUGUAGCAGUGAAAUGCGUAGAGAUCGGAAGGAAUAUCUGUGGCGAAGGCGACUAUCUGGGCCAACACUGACACUGAGGCACGAAAGCGUGGGGAGCAAACAGGAUUAGAUACCCCGGUAGUCCCUGUCUCUUAUAC